CCCGCGUCGGGGAGGUUUCCGGCCCGGGGCCCGACUGCGGGUGGCAUUUCUGGCUAAGCCGUUAGGCGCGAAUUAUAUGGAGAUAUAUACACACACGUAUCUGAAAACAUUCUGACGUUUUAAAAACGGAGCACCAGAGGAGGGGGACUUCAUCUGACUUGUUCAGCACUGUCUCCCAGGCCCUGGCACAGAGGGAGCACUCGAUACACACCGAUGGGCUGAAGGUGUGAAUGGAUCUGGGGACUAGAGUGAUGGUUAUUUGGCAGACAGCAUGCCCCGCCUGGGCAGUAGCCGUGAAGACUCUUCUUUUCCUCUCCUCGCCUGCACUCUUUAGGAUUGAACAGCAUUGGUUCAAUGCAUAUUCUGGGAGCACAGAGAAAAAAGGGAUCAAGUUCCACCAUUAUGCAAAAGGGACUCCUGUAAGCCAGACCCUGAGCCGUUGUCAAAACACAGCUUAAUCCCCAUUCCCUGGGCCCGAGACCCUGCAGCCCCCACGCUGCCCGGCUUCCGGUCUUACCUGGGGCAACCUGACCAACAAGAACGCGGAAGGCCAGGAGCCAAAAACAGAGACUCCUGAUGGGUAACAGAAGGAAAAGGCAGGACAUCCCAGUGCUAAGGAGAGUGACCUCAGACACCAGAGACACAGCAAGUGCAGCAGAGCUGACGGCUCUGGGAACACUGGUCUUCAAAGUCUUCCCCGUUGUUGGUUUUGUUGUCUUUAUUUACAAAUAAAGUAAAUAUUUCUUAUUUA
rnacentral:lncRNA from 1 species